rnacentral:rRNA from 1 species
GACAGAGGGGGCAAGCGUUGCUCGGAAUUACUGGGCGUAAAGGGCGCGUAGGCGGGAUGGCAAGUCGGUCGUGAAAUCCCUCGGCUCAACCGAGGAACGUCGAUCGAUACUGCUGUUCUUUGAGGAUUUGCAGAGGAGACUGGAAUUCCCGGUGUAGCGGUGAAAUGUGUAGAGAUCGGGAGGAACACCGGUGGCGAAGGCGGGUCUCUGGGCAAUUCCUGACGCUGAGGCGCGAAAAGCGUGGGGAGCAAACGGG